rnacentral:piRNA from 1 species
UUUUGAUUAAAUUUUUUAAGG